CUCUCUCUCUCUCUCUCUCUAAAUAUAUAUAUAGAGGUUAGGGUUUUUUUUGUUUGGCAAAUGAAUGAUCAACAGCAGCAGCAGCAGCAAGUGGGCUCGGGGGGAAAUAAGGACCCGGAGGAGGAGAGUGUGGGCCAGUCACUCGAGAUUGUGGCCAAGGCAGCGGGCUCGGACAAGGCCGAGCCAUUAAGUAGCGAGGAAGAGAGUGUAGAGAAACCCGACGAUCCAAUGGAGGAAGACUCCGUUAGCCCCGCUACUGUCUUUUGUAUCAGGCUUAAGCAGCCUCGCUCUAAUUUGCAGUAUAAGAUGAGCGUGCCUGAGCUUUGUCGUAAUUUUAGUGCUGUUGCUUGGUGCGGGAAGUUGAAUGCUAUAGCUUGUGCAUCAGAGACUUGUGCAAGAAUCCCAAGCUCCAAUGCAAACCCUCCAUUUUGGAUCCCCAUACAUAUUGUUAUCCCUGAAAGACCAACUGAAUGUGCAGUUUUCAAUGUGAUAGCAGAUUCUCCUCGUGACUCUGUUCAGUUCAUUGAAUGGUCCCCUACUUCUUGCCCACGUGCCUUACUGAUAGCUAAUUUUCAUGGGAGGAUAACUAUCUGGACUCAGCCUUCUCAAGGUCCAGCUAAUUUAGUGCGAGAUGCUAGCUGUUGGCAGCGUGAGCAUGAAUGGCGUCAGGAUAUUGCAGUUGUUACCAAGUGGUUAUCUGGGGUCUCUCCUUAUAGGUGGCUUUCAUCAAAAUCCAGCAGUUCCUCAAAUUCAAAGUCAACAUUUGAGGAAAAAUUCCUUUCACAUCAAUCUCAAACUUCAGCUAGGUGGCCUAAUUUCCUUUGCGUUUGUUCCGUAUUCUCAUCGGGGUCUGUACAACUUCAUUGGUCCCAGUGGCCUCCUAGUCAGAGUAAUGCAACACCAAAGUGGUUUUGCACAAGCAAGGGACUCUUGGGUGCUGGGCCUAGUGGGAUUAUGGCUGCUGAUGCUAUUGUAACAGAUAGUGGUGCCAUGCACGUUGCAGGUGUUCCUAUUGUAAACCCAUCUACCAUUGUUGUUUGGGAGGUUACUCCUGGCCCUGGACCUGGCUUUCAAGCAACUCCGAAGACAAGUACCAGCGCAGGGCUCCCACCUUCUCUCAACCCACCUAAUUGGUCUGGUUUUGCUCCAUUGGCUGCUUAUCUAUUCAGCUGGCAGGAAUAUCUAAUAUCUGAAGCAAAGCAGGAGAAAAAGCAUACUGAUCAAGAUUUCAGUGACACAGUAUCACUUCACUGCUCACCUGUUUCAAAUUUUUCUGCAUAUGUUAGUCCUGAGGCUGCAGCACAGUCUGCAGCAACCACUACUUGGGGCUCUGGAGUUACCGCUGUUGCUUUUGAUCCAACUCGUGGUGGUUCUGUGAUAGCUGUUGUGAUAGUUGAAGAUAAACAUGCCUAGGCUUUCUCACUUGGGACUAGACGGAAUGAUGUGGGGCCUGAAUUUUGUGUUCAAGGCAGAUGAGACCUUUUCUAUACCUGUUUGUGCAUUUAGAAUCUUUAUAAUUUGUUUCACCUGUGCAGGGCAGUAUAUGUCUCCUUAUGAUCCAGAUGAGGGUCCUUCAAUCACAGGAUGGAGAGUGCAGCGAUGGGAAUCAUCUCUUCAGCCUGUUGUUCUGCAUCAAAUAUUUGGAAAUCCUACUUCCAGCUUUGGUGGGCAGGCACCCAUGCAAACUGUAUGGGUAUCCAAAGUGGAUACAAGCAUACCUCCAACAAAUGAUUUUAAAAAUCAUCAAGCAGUUGCAGCAGGGCCCAUUUCUGAUGCCAGAAAGACAUCUGAUUCUGGUGUUGAGAAGGCAAAAAGUCUCACUUUUGAUCCCUUUGAUCUGCCAAGUGAUGUUAGAUCACUUGCUCGAAUUGUUUAUUCUGCUCAUGGUGGUGAGAUUGCUAUUGCUUUUCUGCGGGGUGGAGUCCAUAUAUUCUCUGGUCCCAACUUUACACCUGUAGACAGCUAUCAGAUUAAUGUUGGAUCUGCAAUUGCCGCUCCUGCUUUCUCUUCCACAAGCUGCUGCUCUGCUUCUGUUUGGCAUGACACUAGCAAGGACCGUACCAUAUUGAAGAUAAUCCGUGUUCUACCCCCUGCUGUUCCAAGUAGUCAGGUGAAGGCUAACUCAUCAACCUGGGAACGUGCAAUUGCUGAGAGGUUUUGGUGGAGCCUUUUGGUUGGAGUUGAUUGGUGGGAUGCUGUUGGCUGUACACAGAGUGCUGCUGAGGACAACAUUGUUUCACUGAACAGUGUCAUUGCGGUGUUGGAUGCGGAUUUUCAUUCUCUUCCAUCAACUCAGCAUCGGCAGCAGUAUGGUCCUAGUCUAGACAGGAUAAAAUGUAGGCUUCUGGAAGGUACAAAUGCUCAGGAGGUCAGGGCAAUGGUUUUAGACAUGCAAGCAAGGUUGCUACUUGAUAUGCUGGGUAAAGGCAUUGAAUCAGCUUUGAUAAAUCCUUCAAAUCUAGUGCCUGAGCCAUGGCUGGCUUCUGGAGAUAAAUUAUCUGGCAUUGAUCCUGAAGCAAUGGCUGUUGAACCAACCCUUGUUCCAAGUAUUCAGGCUUAUGUAGAUGCAAUUCUUGAUCUAGCUUCACAUUUUAUCACACGAUUACGGCGCUAUGCAAGUUUCUGUCGCACAUUAGCAAGUCAUGCAGUUACUGCUGGAACUGGAAGUAAUCGCAGUAUGGUGACGAGUCCUACCCAAAGUUCAGCAUCUCCUGCAACUAGUCAGGGUGGUCAAAAUGGUACUGCAAGUUCUACAGGAAGCACUCAGAUGCAAGCUUGGGUACAAGGUGCUAUUGCCAAGAUUAGUAGUGCAAGUGAUGGAGUGUCCAAUUCAACUCCAAACCCCAUCACUGGUCCAUCUUCCUUUAUGCCAAUAAGCAUCAAUACUGGAACUUUUCCUGGGACACCAGCUGUUAGGCUUAUUGGAGACUGCCAUUUCCUUCACAGAUUAUGUCAACUUUUGCUUUUCUGUUUUUUCUUUCGGCGAACUCAGCUACCUCGCUUUAUUGGAGGUGCACAGAAAAAUACGGAUACAAAUAUGCAAAAACCUCAGUCUGGUCCACCUGCAAAGGUUGAGGAGAGUAAUUCUGUUUCUUCUAAACCAGCUCCAACUAUGGUCAGAUCAGAUGAAGGCCAGGCUGCUGGAGGAGGUCAACUUGUGCCUGGAGCCAAGGGAGUUGAAGAUGGACCUGCUGGCCGGUCAAGACUGGGUUAUGGCAAUGCUGGUCAAGGAUACACUUUUGAAGAGGUGAAGGUCCUUUUCCUCAUACUCAUGGAUCUUUGUCGGCGAACAGUGGCUCUAGCACACCCAUUACCAGUUUCUCAAGUGGGAAGCAGCAGCAUCCAGGUGCGGCUGCAUUAUAUUGAUGGGAAUUAUACUGUAUUACCGGAGGUCGUAGAAGCAUCCCUUGGCCCACAUAUGCAGAACAUGCCCCGGCCUAGAGGUGCAGAUGCUGCUGGUCUGUUGCUGAGGGAAUUGGAACUCCACCCUCCAUCUGAAGAGUGGCACAGGCGGAAUAUGUUUGGUGGCCCCUGGUCUGACCCAGAGGAUAUGGGUUCUGCUGAUGAUACGCCAAGGAUGAGCAGUUAUACAGAUUCUCUUGAUUUCAGCUCAUCGGAAAAUUGUGAUGUUUAUUAUGGGGUUAAUGGCCUAUGGCCAAGGAAGCGCAGAAUGUCUGAAAGAGAUGCAGCUUUUGGCUUAAAUACUUCUGUUGGUCUGGGAGCAUACCUUGGGAUUAUGGGAUCUCGAAGAGAUGUUGUUACUGCAGUGUGGAAGACUGGUCUUGAAGGGGUCUGGUACAAGUGCAUAAGAUGCUUGCGGCAGACUUCAGCUUUUGCUUCAUCAGGGUCUGCAAAUUCACCUAAUCAAAAUGUCAGGGAAGCAUGGUGGAUUAGCCGUUGGGCCUAUGGCUGUCCUAUGUGCGGUGGAACAUGGGUUCGGGUUGUAUAGACGAGAUCACCAUACUUGGAAUUGCAUAUGACUGGCAUCACAAGAAGCAACAAGAAAUUAUAGCAUAGACAUCAUAAGAAGUCCUGCCUUGUGAAUUGUGCUCGGCCAUGCAGUUUAUGGUUGGAGCUUGCAAGUGUGAUAGACCAGUACCAUACCAUGACUGCAGAAAAUUGCUUGUACAGAGUAUAAGACGUAGACGCCGUUAACUUUGUUAGUAUUAGUUGUACUUUUGCCCCUCUCAUUUAGAAAGAAAUGAUUUAACUAGUAUAUUGUGCAUUAUAGAGAAUGGAGGACCUAGCGAGGAUAGCAAGUGUUGGAUGGUUACCGAGAAUGGAAUUGAAGCCAUUUUGCAUUGUACAUCAUGAAAUAAUUUGGCUGAAAUAUCUGAUCUCUAGUACUCGAUUAUGUUGUAGCUUAUUCUAAUGCAAGUUCUCGACUCCUAGUGAUGUAGAGACAAAACGGCUUUGCUUGACCUCUCUCCACUCGUUCUCAGGUGUCUUUCCUCGAAAUGUAAAUCAGUGAUAUACGGCUGACCUGAUGCUUCUCAAUCAUUACUCGAAAUUAAUGCAUUGACCCAACGAGGCUAGGUCACAAAAAUAAGGAGUCCAACUGGUUUGGUCUCACCGAGGGGGUCGUGACAUGCCGUUAUCUUUCAGAAAACGGCACUCUAUUUUGGGUCAUUUAAUUUAUUGAUGGAAAAAACGCUACUGUAUGUUCAAGUAAAUAGUAGAUUCUUAGGUCUGGA
rnacentral:misc_RNA from 1 species